UUAGAGUUUGAUCCUGGCUCAGAUUGAACGCUGGCGGCAGGCCUAACACAUGCAAGUCGAGCGGCAGCGACAUAAACAAUCCUUCGGGUGCGCUUAUGGGCGGCGAGCGGCGGACGGGUGAGUAAUGCCUGGGAAUAUGCCCUGAUGUGGGGGAUAACCAUUGGAAACGAUGGCUAAUACCGCAUAAUCUCUUCGGAGCAAAGAGGGGGACCUUCGGGCCUCUCGCGUCAGGAUUAGCCCAGGUGAGAUUAGCUAGUUGGUGAGGUAAGGGCUCACCAAGGCGACGAUCUCUAGCUGGUCUGAGAGGAUGAUCAGCCACACUGGAACUGAGACACGGUCCAGACUCCUACGGGAGGCAGCAGUGGGGAAUAUUGCACAAUGGGGGAAACCCUGAUGCAGCCAUGCCGCGUGUGUGAAGAAGGCCUUCGGGUUGUAAAGCACUUUCAGUCGUGAGGAAGGC
rnacentral:rRNA from 1 species